rnacentral:lncRNA from 1 species
CUCACAGGGACUGAGAAGGAAAGAAGCCCAAGGUUCCUGUACAUUUAACCAGAACAGAGCCUCUAUGACUUGUAAGGAGAAUAAUGUGUUGUUUUUAAAGGAUACUUUGAAACCUGCCAGUCAGUUGCUUUUUAAUGGUUUUCUAUAUAAUUCUGUGAUCUAACUUUUGCCUCACAGGCCCAUCCUCCUUGCCAUACUUCUGGUUCUCUACUUGGGAGAUCACAUGACUUGGGGGGGGGUGUCAAGAGAUGGCUUGCAUGGUGAGGCAGUAGUUAGUGUGGAGGGCUUUGCUGCAUAAAGGUGAUGCAUACAUUCCACAUUCAGCCUGAGGCCGCGAGCAGGAAGCAUCUGCUCAGCAGAAAGGAGAGAGAGUCACAGAGGCACAGAGGGCUGUGCACAUUACUUUUGGAAGAAACAAUGUGUGCACAGGAUGUGCUUCUUCCAAGGAUGUUCUCAGAGUUCUCUCCUCUUUCCCUCCCCACCUUUCUGUGUCCCCCCUCUGCCUUUGGACAUUUUGCAGCUUUUUAUGAACAAGGGACCCCUUUCCCAUAUUCCAACCUCAGGUGGCUCCUUUACUCUGAUAGCAGCCGGUUGGCUCUCCGAGUGUGUGCUCUAGGAGACAUUCUUGCUUUGAUGUCAGCGGCUUUGGUGUUAAUUUGAAUGGGAGGAGAGUUCUCUGGGCACUCCUCUGCUUCAUAAUACCAGGGCAUUAGCAACAUGCACCUAGUUCCAUUUGUCCCUUUUAAAUUACAGGUUCCCUAAAAAUGUGCCUAGUCACUUCUGUUCUGACGUCCACGUAGCUCUCCA